GCCGCAGUGGCGAAAUUGGUUAACGCGCCAGGUAGAUAACCUGGAGUUCUCGGUUCAAAUCCGAGCUGCGGCA